CAUGUAUUUCUUCUGUCUGAAAAUACUUGUCGUAACAAUGGAUAUAUUUAGGUAUAUAUUUUUUCUAGAUACAUUCAUUUAUAUCCAUUUUUAUGACAAGUAAUUCCAGACAGAAGGAUUUUUUU
rnacentral:pre_miRNA from 1 species